AACCUCCAGAAGCUCCAUCUCAUAGUCCCCCAUUUCUUCUCUCCCUUUAUCUGCCCCUCGGCUCCCUCUCUGCCUGUAAGAGGCCGCGAACUCCUCCAGCUCAUCCAGUGAGCCGGUCCGGCCGGCAGCGCGGCUGCUGUCAGAGGCGGGGACAGAGGACAUCUUUUCGACCAGAGAGGGGGGAGCGAUGGGGACCAUGGUUGGGACACCGGAGACAAAUGUCUGGGGCAGCAGCAUGUGUCCGGGCAGCAGCAGCAGCUGACAUAACAGCAGCAGGAGUGAGGGCAGCACUGGCACCAACACACACCCAGCAGCAGCAGGAACAACACACUGCCCAGAGCCACUGCCGCCACAAACACCCACUCUGGAAAUACACACACAGGAUUAUGCAUAAAAAUACGCACACAAACACACAUACAGACGUCAACAUAGAGUAACAGAUUGUUGAUGUUUGAUUUUGCACAUGACCUGCAUUACUUUUUUCAGCUCUCCCUCUCCAUCUCUUUACAUUGCUUGAAUGUGCAGUGGAUUUGCACUGCAGCCAGACAACACCGAACCUCAACCACAAUGCAAGCACAACCUCUUCCAUAUCUGUUUUUUAAAUAAAAAAUAACUGUAGCAAUGCAAACAAAAUAUGACUUUAGUGCAUCCAGUCCUGUCACUUAAAGCUUUCUUGCGUGAUGAGAUAAUAAAAGUCAA